rnacentral:lncRNA from 1 species
CUUUGCUACUUACAGGUAUACGUGAUCAUAAUAGUUCAGUUAUGCAAUUAUAUGACAUGUUUUCUCAAAUGUUAUAGUGAAACAUUUUAUUAUCCAAAAAGGUAACUUUGUGGAUAACUUGUGGAUACGCUAUUCACUUUCAUAGAUUGUUCCCUUUUUUAUGUACGGAAGUUUAUUCUGAAUAAAACUUUUUGUCAAUUUUAGGCUAUUCUUUGGAAGGGUUGUCACCAAUUUACAUUUGAAAUGUUAGUUUUAACAGUUUUUCUUUAUGUUUGCAUUUUAGAAAUGGUCAGAGGAGACCUGUACCAGGGAAUGAUGCAGUCCAUGUCCAUGAGGAGGAGGACACUGAAGGCAGAUGUGCUCCGGAAGGCCUGCAGGAUGGGGAGGGCCAAGAAGGUUGAAUUCAUGGGAGUGGAGAAGCAAGCCAACUGCAACCACCUGAAAGCUGUGUCGACUAGAAUGAGCCCUUGAGACGCUCCCUCCUCCCUCAUCAUAUUCUCCCUUGCAGUGUUCAUCCAGCCGGACAGUCGAUGGUGUUCACCUUACACCCCCCAGAGGAGUACUGAGGCCGUCUUCCUCAUCCUCUUCAUCAGUCUUCUCAGGAAUGGUACCCCAACAAUUGAUUCCUACAGUCGCCUAGGUAAGAGUUUGUCUGGUUGACCAGUGCUGGGUCGUGUUAAUUCGUGCACACUAUAGCAAAAUA